AUUGAACGCUGGCGGCAUGCCUUACACAUGCAAGUCGAACGGUAACAGGUCUUCGGAUGCUGACGAGUGGCGAACGGGUGAGUAAUACAUCGGAACGUGCCUAGUAGUGGGGGAUAACUACUCGAAAGAGUGGCUAAUACCGCAUGAGAUCUACGGAUGAAAGCAGGGGAUCGCAAGACCUUGUGCUACUAGAGCGGCCGAUGGCAGAUUAGGUAGUUGAUGGGAUAAAAGCUUACCAAGCCGACGAUCUGUAGCUGGUCUGAGAGGACGAUCAGCCACACUGGGACUGAGACACGGCCCAGACUCCUACGGGAGGCAGCAGUGGGGAAUUUUGGACAAUGGGCGAAAGCCUGAUCCAGCAAUGCCGCGUGCAGGAUGAAGGCCUUCGGGUUGUAAACUGCUUUUGUACGGAACGAAAAGCCCCGGGUUAAUACCUUGGGGUCAUGACGGUACCGUAAGAAUAAGCACCGGCUAACUACGUGCCAGCCGCCGCCGUAA
rnacentral:rRNA from 1 species